GGCCGAGUGGUCUAAGGCGCCUGACUCAAGUUCAGGUCUAGAAAUAGGCGUGGGUUCGAAUCCCAC
rnacentral:tRNA from 2 species